UGAUUAAUAUUGAUUUUGAGUUUAUAUAAUAUAUGCGAUAAUAUAUAGAGAGUUGUAUUUAUAAUAAAAUAGAUUUGCAAAACCAAAUUUUAAUUACGAAACACCAAAAUAAUAUUUUAACUUCUCAAAAUCACUUUUAAAAUUCGUGAGCCCCUCUAUUUAUCUCACCAAUGAACCUACCAUAAUGCUCGCUAAAUUCAUUUGUUCAACAAACCCGUUACCAAAAUUUAAAAAAUUAUGUUUUCCUUUAUAAUUAAUCUCAGUACCCAUUACACCAUUAUAACGAUUCAUUAGAAUGAUUCCUGAUUUUUUAAAUUUCUCACGACAUCUUCUCGUCUUCUUCCAUCUCUCCAAUUGGAUCAAUCCUUUUUAGACCCAAAAUUACUUAUAUUUGACAAGGUUUUACCCUCGAACUUAUUUGUCCUUCUGACUAAUUUGUUAGUCAACAAUUAAAGCUCAUUGGUAUAGUGCACCACAAACUUCUUGAAACCAUUUAUACUGCGUUUACUUUUUGGAUUGGAGUGGCAAUCUUGAGAAGUGGGAAUCCUUGGAUUAGGAGUGUGAAGUGGGAGUGGGAGUAGGGUGUUUACUUAGACUAAUGAAAGUAUGAAUUGUCAAUCAGAAUCCUAAUUAUUUGUUUACUUUGUCUUGGAUUGUGAGUAAAUUAUUUUAAAUUACAAUUUUAUCUUUAUGUACAGAAUUAUAAUUUGUAAUU
rnacentral:lncRNA from 1 species